AUAAUAUCAAAGAAACAGAAUUACUAAAGUUGGUCGAUUUCAAAGAUAAACAGAUAAAAUCUGAAAAUCUGACAACUGCGCAUUUUAUUUAUUCGAACUAUGGAGUCUAAAAGGAGGAGGCGAAUCGAACGCAAAAAUUAUGGGCCCAGUUUUUGAGAUCUAAAUGAAGUUCGAAAAUCGCCGUUAGGGGCGCUUGUGAUGAUUGGGAUACUAGAAAUACACAGCUUCUUAUGGCAAGAAUAACUAUUUUGUUAUAAAUUAUAGAGCCAAGUUAAUAUUUGGGCAUAUUUUUACCAGAGUUAGCUUUUAGAAACGUGGUUUUCUAAUUGAGCAAUGUGCGUGGCUAAAAUUGUGAAUACAAAACCUUAAAUUUGAGUUUGAAAAUGCAUACACGACCGAAGAAACAUAUAAGCUGCUAAAAUAAAUCUUCCCUAGAACUGUUGUACAAAAA